rnacentral:lncRNA from 12 species
GUUUCCAUGUGUGAGGGUGACAAUGUGCUCUCUGGCAUCUGUCCAGUGUCAUCUCUAAGAAAUGUUAAAUGCUCUGGGGGAGGAAUAGAUGAGAUUGGAAACCUGGAACAUUUUCUUCUCGGGGGAAAUGUAUGGACCAAAGAGAAGUGCAGAACUGCUGAGGUACUUGCUGAGACAACAGCCAGAUCAGGAAGCUGAGGGACUCAGCACUGACUACAGAGAGUAAACCAAGCUGUCAAAACCAGUGAUUGUUUGCUUG